rnacentral:rRNA from 1 species
UACGAAGGGGGCUAGCGUUGCUCGGAAUCACUGGGCGUAAAGCGCACGUAGGCGGAUUGCUAAGUCAGGGGUGAAAUCCUGGAGCUCAACUCCAGAACUGCCUUUGAUACUGGCGACCUUGAGUCCGGGAGAGGUGAGUGGAACUGCGAGUGUAGAGGUGAAAUUCGUAGAUAUCGUCAAGAACACCGAUAGUGAAGACAGCUAACUAAACUCUAACUGACGCUGAGGCACGAAAGUGUGGGGAUCAAACAGG